UAGCUUUCCUUUCCUAAACCCUCUUCUCAACAGAUCAGACAUAGAAAAAAAACUAUGACAUAGAUAAAUUUUUAUGAUUUUUUAUAGCCAAGCCAAAAUUAUGCAGUAGAUCCACGAACGUUAGUUCCCUUGCCAUCCUUAGGACGUGCACUUGCCGUUAAUUUCCCUUCAGCAUCUAUUUGAAGAACCAGCUCGAUCUUGGCAUUAGGAGAAACAUCAGGAAGAGUAAUGGUGGCAAUCAAAGUCUUGGGUAUAGCGAUACGCUCUUUAAUCUCCUCUGGCUCCUCUUCUUCAUCAUCAGAAAAUGCCUCUUCCUCAUCAAUAGGCUCCGGUUCAACUUUGGUAACCUUUACUGAACGCUCAGCUUCAUAAAUUGGAAUAAAGGCAGCACCCUCUUUAGGAGCAAUCACCUCAACAGUCUUUCGAGCAGGCAAAGCAGUCUCGAUGUCGAAAAUAGUAACAAAGUUCUCACCUUCGUUGAUACCGAUAGGAGCAGUAAGGUGAGGAACAUCAACCACUUGUGCAUCAGUAGAAGCAGCAAUGUCAGCAGCAUCAAAGUGCCCAAUCAAAGAAGCUUGAACACCGGAACCGAUCGCGGUAAGUUCAGAAGGGUCUAAUUGCAAAGGAGUAACUGAACUAGAGGAACGGAUGAUAGUUUGUUCAGGGAAAAUGGAUUCCAUCAAGGAAGUUAAUUUGGGAGUAUUGGAGGCACCACCAGCUAAAAUAACCUCAGAAAUAUCAAAAGGCUCCAUGUUUGCCUUUUCAACAGCUUCGGUUACAAGAUCGGCCAUGCGAUUUAAAGUGGCGCUUGCUGCAAGGUCAUAACGAAGGCGGUUAAUGCUACUAUGGAAGUCGAUGCCGUCGGCCAAAGAGUCUACAGCAGCAGAAGCGGUAGUACCAUUGCUAAGUACACGCUUAGUGAUCUCACAUUGAGCACGGAGCUUAGCAAGGGAACGGGCAUUUUUGCGAGGAUCAAUUCCAUUCUUCUUUUCAAACUCCUUGGCAAAGAAAUUAACCAACACAUCAGUUAAUUGCUCACCUCCCAAAUUCUCAUCAUGAACUGAAGCCAAAAUGGUCAUUAGACCACCCUUAACAGAUACAACAGAGACCUCAGAGCGAGUGGCACCAAAGUUAGCGACCACAACAGUUUUGUCGAUCAGAACCUCUUCGGAAUACAUUAAGGCCAAAAUAACAGCAGCCGGGUCAUGAAUCAACUGCAAAACUGGAAGUCCAGCUUCAUUGGCAGCAGAUUCCAGAGCCUUACGUUGAGCGUCAGUAAAAUAGACAGGAACAGACAUAACACAUCCGUUGACCUUUGUACCCAAAAAGUCCUCAGCAGACUCAGUAAGACGGCGUAAGUGACGGACACUAGCCUCAUGAGCAGUCAAAAUCUUUUCUUUAGGAUCAGAUUCUUCGUCCUCUUGAACAGUGAUCUUGAAACCAAUUUGACCCUCCACAUUCACGGGAUUGGCAGAAUAAUGACAGUGAUGAAGUGUCAAUUCAUCAUGAGAUUUUCCAAGCAAAUCACGGAAGUUAGUUACUGAGUUAUCAGCAUUUCGAACAAGUUGUCCGCGAGCUUGAACUCCGUGAUACUCUUGGUCACCGUGAUACGACAAAAUUGAAGGGAUUUGACGAUUUCCCUCUUCAUUUGCUAAUACAUCGGUUUUUCCAUCCUGUUUGAUUUGUUAGCUUCUUUAAUUUGAAAAUUUACUAAGGAUUCUCGUCUGCCUGCAUAAAGCAAGUCUAUGCGAAUGAACUAGGAGAUUACUCAUUUCUCCAAGUAAAAAAAUUUUCUUACCCUAUUAAAAGCAAUAGAACUGUUUUGAUUUCCAAAAGAAAUUCCAAUGACAGUCUUGUAUUCUUCGGAAUCUGCCAUUAUAAAAUUUUCGCUGAAUGGGAGAGUUUUCGUUAGCUUCAGCUGCAUCAGAAUUUACGACCCGAAUAUAAGAAAGUAAUAGUACAAUGCGAA
rnacentral:lncRNA from 1 species